rnacentral:ncRNA from 1 species
CCUAUGGAGAGUACAAGAACUUGUGAGUAGUGUCUGGAUUAAUUCAGUAUGAAAGCAUACUCAAUGAAAUAGGAA